CCUACGGGUGGCUGCAGUGAGGAAUAUUGGUCAAUGGGCGCGAGCCUGAACCAGCCAAGUCGCGUGAGGGAAGACGGCCCUAUGGACUGUAAACCUCUUUUGCCGGGGAGCAAAAGACGCCACGCGUGGCGUUCCGAGAGUACCCGAAGAAAAAGCAUCGGCUAACUCCGGGCCAGCCGCCGCGGUAAUAGGGGGGAUGCGAGCGUUAUCCGGAUGUAUUGGGGUUAAAGGGUGCGCAGGCGGAAGAUCAAGUCAGCGGUAAAAUUGAGAGGCUCAACCUCUUAGAGCCGUUGAAACUGGUUUUCUUGAGUGAGUGAGAGGUAUGCGGAAUGCGUGGUGUAGCGGUGAAAUGCAUAGAUAUCACGCAGAACUCCGAUUGCGAAGGCAGCAUACCGGCGCUCAACUGACGCUCAUGCACGAAAGUGUGGGUAUCGAACAGGAUUAGAUACCCUUGUAGUC
rnacentral:rRNA from 1 species